UUCCAGUGGAGCUAUUUCAAAUCCUAAAAGAUGAUACAGAGAAGAUUAGCACGGCCCCUGCGCAAGGAUGACACACAAAUUCUUGAAGUAUUCCAUAUUUUU
rnacentral:snRNA from 1 species